UUCUCUGUGUUCCGCUGUUGAAAAAAAAACCCAUCUCUCUCUCUCUCUCUCUCUCUCCCUCUAUUUGGUACAUGAUUCACGAUCUCGUCUCCGCUACUGUUCUCUCUCAUUGUCGGAGCCAUGACAAAACCUUGAUGAAGAAGAGGCCAGUUGGCCCAAUCAGACCUCGAUGUCUAAUUUCGGUUUUUUCCCAGAAUUUUUGAUGAAAAAGAAGAGGAAUUUGGGGAAGAAAAGCUGAGGUUAAUUUGCUUACAGUUUAGAAUUUGGAUUACAACUUUUAAAUGGUAUGUAUUUGCUUGAGACUCCAAAAGAUGAGCAAGUUGAAAUUGAAGAAUUCAUGAGGGUGGACAAUAUGUAAGGAAGAAAGGCUGAACGCCCUUUUGUACAUGUGGGUAUGUAAACCGAUGUACAGCCAGUUCGCCACACCCUUUUGUACAUGUGGAUAUAUAAACCGAUGUAUAACCAAUUCGCACACACCUUUUUGUACAUGUGGAUAUGUAAAGCGAUGGACACAUAUAUAGCACUAAAACAUUAUACAUGUGGAAAUUUUGAAUGAGAUUUGUACUUUUA